rnacentral:rRNA from 1 species
AUUGAACGCUGGCGGCAGGCUUAACACAUGCAAGUCGAGCGGGGUUUUCGGACCUAGCGGCGGACGGGUGAGUAAUGCGUAGGAAGCUACCCAAUAGAGGGGGAUACCAGUUGGAAACGACUGCUAAUACCGCAUAAUGUCUACGGACCAAAGUGUGGGACCUUCGGGCCACAUGCUAUCGGAUGUGCCUACGUGGGAUUAGCUAGUUGGUGAGGUAAUGGCUCACCAAGGCGACGAUCCCUAGCUGGUUUGAGAGGAUGAUCAGCCACACUGGAACUGAGACACGGUCCAGACUCCUACGGGAGGCAGCAGUGGGGAAUAUUGGACAAUGGGCGCAAGCCUGAUCCAGCCAUGCCGCGUGUGUGAAGAAGGCCUUCGGGUUGUAAAGCACUUUCAAUAAGGAGGAAGCGUUGAGUGUUAAUAGUACUCAGCGUUGACGUUACUUACAGAAGAAGCACCGGCUAACUCUGUGCCAGCAGCCGCCGUAAAAC